AUCCUUUCGGGUACAUCUGCCGAAACCUUAGUGCAUUGAUUAGGCGACUCUAAAGAAGUAUAAUCCCUGGGGUUGACCCCUCGAGCACUAGCCAUCCGUUGUGGAUGGCGACAUUACCAGUAUGCGGGAAUCUUCAGGCUACGUUCGCUUGGAUGACCCGCAGUCACUUUGGUGACUCACAGGCUAAAUGGUAAUGGGCGUAGAUGUUAGGCACCUAUGCUUCAGAUAUAGUCGGUCCCCAGAUAUCUCUGGGAGACUUGUAGAUUUUGGGGGCUUCCAGUCAUUCAUGUCAAUUAAUGGUAGAUUUGAUUCUUGCGAUGAAAAGUCAGUUUUUAUAAGAAAUAUAAAAUACCAUUUAACCUCCUAUGUCCUCCGGAGAGCCGUUCCACAGACAUGUUUGACGUUCGAAGCUGAUGCUGAUGGGGACUAUGCUAGACAAACAUAUUCCUGGCAUCUUUGCUGCCUCGCUCCGGCCGUUCCGUGUACAUGGCAGGUGCAAGUUGCAGGCACUUGCACAACCGGCAAGUGCCCAGCAGCAGGGCUCAAAACCAUUUUCCACAAGCGAGUAAACGUUCCGUAGGUGAACCUGCGGAAGGAUCAUUACC
rnacentral:rRNA from 1 species